UUUAUGGCUCAGUGGUAGAGUGCUUGCCUAGAAUGCAUGAGGCACUGUGUUCGAUUCUCAGCAUAAAA
rnacentral:tRNA from 1 species